UACAGAGGUCUCAAGCGUUGUUCGGAUUCAUUGGGCGUAAAGGGUGCGUAGGCGGUCGGGUAAGUCGGAUGUGAAAUCUUGGGGCUCAACCUCAAAACUGCAUUCGAUACUGCUUGGCUGGAGGACUGGAGAGGAGAGUGGAAUUCACGGUGUAGCAGUGAAAUGCGUAGAUAUCGUGAGGAAGACCAGCGGCGAAGGCGGCUCUCUGGACAGUUCCUGACGCUGAGGCACGAAGGCCAGGGGAGCAAACGGG
rnacentral:rRNA from 1 species